rnacentral:rRNA from 1 species
UACGGGGGGGGCAAGCGUUGUUCGGAAUUACUGGGCGUAAAGGGCGCGUAGGCGGCCUGCUAAGUCGGAUGUGAAAUCCCUCGGCUCAACCGAGGAACUGCAUCCGAUACUGGCGGGCUUGAAUCCGGGAGAGGGAUGUGGAAUUCCAGGUGUAGCGGUGAAAUGCGUAGAUAUCUGGAGGAAUACCGGUGGCGAAGGCGGCAUCCUGGACCGGCAUUGACGCUGAUGAGCGAAAGCUAGGGGAGCAAACGGG